UCCAACCUCCGCUGAGAUGUACGGUAAC
rnacentral:sRNA from 1 species